rnacentral:tRNA from 1 species
GCCGGAGUAGCUCAGAGGUAGAGCAGGGCUUUCGUAAAGCCAAGGUCAGGAGUUCGACUCUCCUCUCCGGCUCCG